UACGUAGGGUGCGAGCGUUGUCCGGAAUUAUUGGGCGUAAAGAGCUCGUAGGCGGUCUGUCGCGUCGAAUGUGAAAACCCGGGGCUCAACUCCGGGCUUGCAUUCGAUACGGGCAGGCUAGAGUUCGGUAGGGGAGUCUGGAAUUCCUGGUGUAGCGGUGAAAUGCGCAGAUAUCAGGAGGAACACCGGUGGCGAAGGCGGGUCUCUGGGCCGAAACCGACGCUGAGGAGCGAAAGCGUGGGGAGCAAACAGG
rnacentral:rRNA from 1 species